AGGAUAAUAGUUAAAAAUAACAUUUAAUUUGCAUUUAAAAAUUAUUGGACAAACCCAAUUUAUCUU
rnacentral:tRNA from 1 species